AUUAUAGGCACGAGCCACCGCGCCCGGCCUAGGACUGUUCUUUAAAAGCAAUGAAUAAAGCUUUCUAAAACAUUCUCCACAUCAUUUUUUUUUCCUUUCAGUGUGGACGAGUAAAAACUUUUUCACAGAUUAGCACCUAUGUCAACAGAAAUGAAAACAAGACGAAGGAAAGACAUUAAAAAAGCGACCCGGGGACUCUGACUAAGGGAGUGAAAGAAAGUCAGUCUUCCAAGACGACUGGCAGGUACUCCCAUAAGCAUCAGGCUAACUCUUCUUUACCUCGACGAAGGAAAACCAGUGCACCAACGAAUGGCCACCUAGCCUCUGAAUCGCUCUGACUCCAGGUCUUCAAAAGCCCUUUCCAACUACUAGAUAUGCCUCUGGGCAGAUUCUCUGCUUAUUUGCAACUGUGUGGCUCAAUUGAAUGUUGCUUGGCCUUAGUGGUGAACUAACCCUGCCCAGCUUGUAGAUUUGAGAGGCAGUUUUCUUUUAUUAGCUUUUUGAAUGUACAAUGCAAUAGGCUCCAGGGAAUUUGAAUAGUACAUCAACUUCAUGCCCACUAUUGCAUUCCUCUGGCCUUAGCCUCACGGUUUCGAAUUCAUAACACACAGCACAUGCCUUCCUGCUCCUGCCUGGCCCCUCUUUACAAAGGACUCUUGCUGGAAAGGACAGACGUCCUCAGGCUCUCCGUGACCUACCGCGCUUUCACUGAUGGGAUGCCCUUAUCUGAGGUUUAUCUAUUUGUUCGUCUUUAAUUUGGAUUGCAUGUUUGCCUAGACUUGCUGUUUUAGUUUUUGUGGUAUAUUUUUAAAUCUCUUUUUUAAGUUUCCUAAGUAAUGGGAUUAUCGACAAACGCCUCAGAGAAUAGCAGCCUCAGUCAUUCUCAGCUGAGAAUGCUACAUUCAACCUGACAUGACAUUUUCUUUCUCUCUGCCCCUUGCAGAUGUGAAGCUCCUAACUUUUUCCUUUUGCUUGGUAAUGUCUCUCAGAUAUUUAUCUUUCUAUUCCCAGAGCUGCCCUAGACUUUUAAAAUGGGUCUAUCUGCCUCUUCCCAUAUGCACUGAUACCAAAUCAAUCUUUUGAAACACCAUGAUUAUAAUACCUUUCUACUUAAACAUCUUCAGUAGAUGCUCAACAGAGAGUAAAAUCAACUGAUUUGGACUGUUACCAACCCAAUAUCAACAGCCUAUUGAUAAUGCAAAUUUAUUCACGUGGAAACCAUUUGCAGUUCUCGAAAACUUUCUUUACAACUUGACAACGGGAGUAUUUAUCGUCUUCCCCAUAAAAUGGCUUCUUUAACCAAAGGUUAUGUUUUUAAAAUUAUCUUCUGCUUUUGAGAAAAAUAUGUGUCAAUGAGAGCACAGCUUUAGAGCAGCGCCUACGCCGGGGCAGAGAAGUCAUUCUAACUCUGGGGGCGGGCUCGUCUGCGGAGUCACGUGCUCUUUGUCCCUUCUGUGGAGUGUUGGUCCAGAAUUCAGCCUGACCCUGAGGUGGCCUGACUCAAAGACGAGACCAGCCUAUGUCAUUACAUAUAUACUGGCGGCAAUGCCCUCCCCACCCCUCUGUCAUUUUCACCUAGGGAGGCCGGAAUGAGAGGCAGUGAAAUGUGACUGCUUUCUCUGGUCAAAACCAAGCCUGUUCUGGGCAGGCAAGACAGCAGCAGAUGUUGGUUUGGGCUCAUUCAGAAAGCCUCCAGAUGGGAUAAAUGUUCAAGUUUCCUUAUGAGUGGCCCUUCCCCGGGAUCUUCCUCAGGGCCAUCCCAGAACUCGCCUGCUUUCAGAGCUGCUUAGUGGGUUCCAUGGCUUUGCUUUCAGACUUGGAUCCCAGUAAGAACUCACAUGAAGGACUUAAUUAACCCAUCUUUCUCCCACUCUCACUAUAAUGUAUAUGUGUGUGAUGUGUGUAUAUAGUAUACGUAGUGUACGUGUGUAUAAUACACACACACACCCCCACAAACACACACACACACACUUUACACAGAGGGAGAAUCUAAUAGUUGCUUAGGUUCAAAUUUCCUUCCAUAGUUUAACAGCCAACAACAACAAAAACAAACAAUCCCUGCAUCUUGUCACCAGUGACCACAGUGCUUUUCCCACAACGCUAAUUUGUAACAGCCUCUUAUCUGUUGUUGAGGUAAAGUGGAACACAAUGACUAACCCUGUCAUGACUAAGCAUGUAGGCAUAAAUCACUCCUGGAUCCUCCUUCCUGAGGAGGGACAUGUGCACAAACAGCGAACGUGGAAUGGCGGGCUGAUGCGGAAUCUUAAUGGCAAUAAUGUGAUUUGCGACAGCAACAUCAAAAGAUUUUACAUUUAAGUCUUCUGAGAAGGAACCUGUGGUUUAUGUAUUUUAACCAUUAUCUCAUAGACAAAUCGUAAUUUGUAGCAAGGUAGUAAGAAAUCCUCAAAAAUCAGGUUCUGGAUAGAAAAUGCUUCUAUCACCAAGGGAAGUAGAGCAGUCGCCUACGCCACAUCAUGGCACCACCUGAUUCUCCGCUGCCUGCUACCUACUUGUCAUCAAAAAUGGCAGGGAAAAUGCGAAAGAAGAAAAAGACAGUAUUACUUUACGUGAGGACAAGAACAUCCAGAGAGGUGCUCUGACUCUCCCAGUCAUGCAGUUAGGAGUAAGCAACACAAUCGGGACGGGAACCCAGGUUUCUAGUUUCAUCUUAUGAGUGUCAACGACUUGGAAAACGGAGACUGCCUUCCCCAACCUGGACAGAGCUCCAAAGAGUAGUGCAGUGUCCACGCUGGUUCUGCGUUUGCAGCCUCAAGAUAUUCUGACACCACUCUAGGAUCCUGAAACACAGGCCAAGGACUUUCUCUGUGUUGAACACCUUCCUGGGAGGCUAAGCAGUUACAGAAUCCAGGAGUGAGAGCUGCUGGCAUUGAUUUUAUUUUGAUGUCAGAGGAAUGAGCCACAGAUGCUGGAAAGUCUCUAGAAAACACCCAAUUGUCAAUCUUCAGUUCUGUGAUUGUAAAACAUGAAAUGUUCUCUUGCAAUCAUCGUCCAUGUGUACACUUCUUGCUUUAUUAUCAAUCAUUUUAAAUGGCUGGUGUACACAGCUUAGUGUUAGGGUCAAUCACCUGAUAAUCACUGUGUAAGGGAAGCUGAUGAUGCACACGGAUAUGAGGCCAUCAAAUCAUCUGUCUAAUCUAGACAGUUGCAUGAGUUUAAAGAGGAAACUGGACACUUGUGGAAGCUGCAUUUACUCUAGAACCAUUAUGGAACGAGUUAGCACAUGUGGAACAUUGAUUUGCCAGAUGGAACACCCUGAAAGAGUUAAUUCAACCUUGCGACUAUCAACACACUCCAGGCACACAGCUGAUGAACUGAGACUAUCUG